rnacentral:rRNA from 1 species
GAAUUCGGCUUAGAGUUUGAUCCUGGCUCAGGACGAACGCUGGCGGCGUGCCUAAUACAUGCAAGUCGAACGGUCUUUUCUAUGGAAGCUUGCUUCCACUGAGAAGAUAGUGGCGAACGGGUGAGUAACACGUGGGUAACCUGCCCAUAAGAGGGGGAUAACAUCCGGAAACGGGUGCUAAUACCGCAUAGUUUUCUUGAUCGCAUGAUCGAGAAAGGAAAGACGGCCUUUGUGCUGUCGCUUAUGGAUGGACCCGCGGCGUAUUAGUUAGUUGGUGAGGUAAUGGCUCACCAAGACGAUGAUACGUAGCCGACCUGAGAGGGUGAUCGGCCACAUUGGGACUGAGACACGGCCAAACUCCUACGGGAGGCAGCAGUAGGGAAUCUUCCGCAAUGGACGAAGUCYUGACGGAGCAACGCCGCGUGAGUGGAGAAGGUUUCSGAUYSUWAACUCUGUUGUCAGAGAGAACAARKYCGAGAGUWACUGCUYCGGCCUUGACGGUAUCUGACCAGAAAGCCMCGGCUAACUACSUKGCAGCRGCSCGGUAUWMCGUAGKKGCAGSGUUGUCCGGAUUUWUGGGGCGUAA